ACAAAGUGAGCGCUCUUAGCAGCAAACUAUCUUUGACGUAUUUCUCUCUGGUAAACUUGGCAACAAGAAUUUAGGCAGGAGAAAGUAAACGAUUCAAAAGGCCCAUACUUUUAUACGGUUUGUACCUUGGAAAACUUUCGUCUUUGUUUGAAGAUGGAUUAUUUCAACUACUUUGAGAAUUUUAAUGACACUUACCUUGACUAUGACUACAACGCUGUUUUUACGGACGUUACUCCCCUCUUCCAGCCAGCUGUCAUUUUAAGUGCCUCUUAUGUGAUUGCAUGGAUUGUAGUAUGGAUAGGCUUCCCACUCACCAUGCUAGCAAUUUGUGCACUUCACUCACAGAUAAAAGAAGAUAAAGUUGCACCCGUCUUUGUCGUCAAUCUCCUACUCUCUGAGCUCAUCCAGAUAUGCUGCUUGUUGAUUCAGGUUUUAAAACCUGACAGUUAUGAGGCAAUCUGUAUUUCUAGACUGAUCUAUUACGUUGGUGUGAAGGCCAGUGUUGGCUUCAUGAUGUGUGUUGCCCUAGAAAGGUUUCUGGUCUUCGCCUGGCCAUUGUGGUAUCGCUUCAAACGCAGCAUAAAAGUCUUUGUGUGGAUCUGUGCUGCAGUUUGGGUCAUAAGUCUUAUUGAGUUUCCCAUUGCAUCCUUUCUUAAGUUUACAAGCUAAUUUUAAGAUGCACUUCCUUUUUUCUCUCCAUCCCACUUAUCAUUUGUCUAGUCAGGACAUUUAAAGAUUUAUCUUCUGCCAAGUCUGUCCCUCAAAGAAAAAGACUCAGGAUAGUUGGAAUUGUGUGGUGCUGGUGCUCAUGAUUUGCACAUUGUUGCUCAUGUCCUUGGUCAUCCAGCUCCUGCAAAGUAGAAUCAUAUCUUCAGAAAAUGUUGCUGAAAAAUGGCAUAAUGUCUCACUGUCUCAUUCAUUCAGUUCAACCCACAUGAAGACAAGGUGGUCGAAAAGCUGCUUGCUUGUAUGUGUUGUUUCAACAUUUUGACAGACGAAAAUGGUGGCCUCUGCAUUGCGACAACUAGAACUGCAUAAAAUGAUUUGUAAUGUAACUGACUGAUUGAAAAGUUGGGUUAGACAGACAAUGGUAUUUAGGAAUGAUAUUUAUGGUUAUCCUAGAUUUUAAAUCUCAAUCAAAAUGUUAUUAAAGCUGUCAUUUUUUGCCAUCA